GAUGAACGCUGACAGAAUGCUUAACACAUGCAAGUCAACUGUGGCGGACGGGUGAGUAACGCGUAAAGAACUUGCCUCACAGUUAGGGACUACAUUUGGAAACGAAUGCUAAUACCUGAUACUGUGAGAGAGUUUUGCGUCCCAUUAGCUAGCUGGAGAGGUAACGGCUCACCAAGGCGAUGAUGGGUAGCCGGCCUGAGAGGGUGAUCGGCCACAAGGGGACUGAGACACGGCACUUAUUCCUACGGGGGGCAGCAGUGGGGAAUAUUGGACAAUGGGCCAAAGUGUGAACCAGCAAUUCUGUGUGCACGAUGAAGUUUUCGGAAUGUAAAGUGCUUUCAGUUGGGAAGCGGUACCAACAGAAGAAGUGACGGCUAAAUACGUGCCAGCAGCCGCGGUAAUAC
rnacentral:rRNA from 1 species